rnacentral:rRNA from 1 species
AGGUCCCGCCUGCCCUGUGAUUUUUUUAACGGCCGCGGUAUCUUGACCGUGCGAAGGUAGCGUAAUCACUUGUCUUUUAAUUGAAGGCCCGUAUGAAAGGCAUCACGAGAGUUUAUCUGUCUUUAUUUUCCAAUCAAUGAAAUUGAUCUUCUCGUGCAGAAGCGAGAAUAAAUACAUAAGACGAGAAGACCCUAUGGAGCUUUAAACACUUAAGUUAUUUUUAAAUAUCAAAAUUUUCUCGCCCUCGGGCAUAAAAUACAAAAUAACAUCCUAACUUAACUUGUUUUUGGUUGGGGCGACCAAGGGGAAAAACAAAACCCCCUUAUCGAAUGGGUGAAAAAUCACUCAAAGCUUAGAACUACAGUUCUAAUUAGUAGAAAAUCUAACGAACAAUGACCCAGGAAAAUCACAUCCUGAUCAAUGAACCAAGUUACCCUAGGGAUAACAGCGCAAUCCUUUCUUAGAGCCCCCAUCGCCGAAAGGGUUUACGACCUCGAUGUUGGAUCAGGACAUCCUAAUGGUGUAGCCGCUAUUAAGGGUUCGUUUGUUCAACGAUUAACAGUCCUACGUGAUC